UUUUAGCCCCGAUGGGAGCGGCAUCCUUGAUUGCCGGGGUUCGGCAAGCAAGAUAUAGCGGAGAGCGGGACUUUGU
rnacentral:sRNA from 1 species